rnacentral:rRNA from 1 species
UACGAAGGGGGCUAGCGUUGUUCGGAAUUACUGGGCGUAAAGCGCGCGCAGGCGGCUAUCCAAGUCAGUGGUGAAAGCCCGGAGCUCAACUCCAGAACUGCCUUUGAUACUGAGAAUCUUGAGUACGGGAGAGGUGAGUGGAACUGCGAGUGUAGAGGUGAAAUUCGUAGAUAUUCGCAAGAACACCAGUGGCGAAGGCGGCUCACUGGCCCGUUACUGACGCUGAGGCACGAAAGCGUGGGGAGCAAACAGG